CCCCCUCCCCCUCCCGCUUUCUUCUUCUCCGGCGAACGGCAGCAGCGCCGGCCGCCGCCUCGUCCCCGACCUCCCCCUAACUCCUCUCUGCUCUCUCCCUCUCUCUCGUUGCGCUCACACACACCUCGAAAGUAUCGUUGAACGCACACACACGCACAAAUCUGAGGGUGGCCGGCGACGUGGCCGCCUAGAUCUAAGGGCGGUCGGCGGUGGUGGUGGUGGUCUUGAUUUGGGGGUCUGGUUUGGGGUUCGUGAUUUGGGGGUCUCAGGGUGGUCUGCGGGGCCGUUUGCGUCGAUGCCUCAAACUCUGAAAAUCCGGCGAGUCGCGCCGGUCUUCUUCUUCCCAUUCUGAAUUGUGUUGAUUUUUUUGUCGAUUGGGCGGCUGGUAGGACGGCGACCGCCGGCGCCGGCGCCGGCGCCACCGUCUCCGUCGCCGUCGCCCAAAUGCAGUGAGAGGAGGAAGGAGAAGUUAGAUUGAGGAUGUCUUAAUUAACUCUUUAAUUUUGGUGGACCACAAUUAAUUAAACAUAACUAUCUCUUUCUUAAUCUCCGUGCCCAAAAGAAAGGGGCCAGUUUUAUUGGGA